CAUUUAAUUUGCAAGGGAACACAAUUGUUCAACAGGAUAUUGACAUAAAAUUACAGUAUGUUCUCAAACUCCUAAACUUUUCAACUACUGAUACUCUGGAUUGUACUACACGUGGGCAGCAUACAGAGCAUUGUCAGGACAGUGAAAUGAAUAAGAAAACCAUCGAACUUUGAAGGCUAAGAAAUAUUUUGCACUACAGAUAGUUUGAGGGUAAUUCUGGACAAUCCCUUACAAUCUGAAGUUAAUGAUACUCUACAGCCCUGCAUGCUGACUGAAAAUGAUUAUAUUUUUCUUAUAGAUAAAGAUAACAUUGUGAAGACUCACCAAACUAACACCAAUAAAACAUUUUUCUUGCUGGUAUUCUGGUAUAUUAUCCUCUAGAUUUAGCAUCCAAUAAAUUUUGGUUCAACUUUGCAUUCCCUCAACAUUUCUACAUAUAAGAGCAUUUCCAUUUAUCAAGUGAGAAGAAGAGAGCUGGAUAUUUAAUAAAGAGAUGGCAAACAAUCUUUUUUCAAUAACCUUCCAUCACAAUGAGGAAAAUGGGUUCUGUCAACUUUGCCUGACCUACCAGAGAAAAUAACUAUUCUAGAGAAAUCAUAAGAACAAGAGAGGUUGACUGCGAAAUCAAAGGAUGGAUAUUGUUAAGAUGCUUUGCAUGGUAGGAAUUCUUAGUUAUUUCUUUCACUGGAAGGCUACAAAUUGAUCUUUUUCCCAUUGGUUUGGUCCAUUGUUCUAUGGUCUCCAAGUACCAUCGUAAUUUAAGACAAAAUCCAGGAUCUUGUACUAGAUAUUGGUACAGAGUUCAAGACUGGGCAUUUCUAGACUUAUGUCUUGCAAAGCAUGUAUUAGCAAAGCCCAUAGGAUCACAUGCAACCUUGCAGGAUAUAUGUGUCUAUAAGGCACUGUAGAAUAACUGUCACUGAAAGGGAUUGAGACUACUCCUGAAAGUCCACAAAAGUAUAACCUACUACCCUUGUAUAACUUUAAGUUCAUGUAAGAUGGUACUCUUCUAGGUCCAAUUUUGUGGAAAAAUGUUCUUGAGGUACAUGCAGAUAUGAAAACAGAAGAGAGCGAGUUUAUCUGAAACAAAAUUGUAAACACUGUAAUUUUACUGUAUUAAUUUUAGUGCGUCCACACAUCUCCCAAGAUCUUCAGCAAACUUAAUCCUAUAAAGAAGAAUAUGCAUAGGUAAAAAACCCCACCCAAUAUUUGUACAGAAUACAUGCCUGGCAAAUCUCUGCAAUAUAAUACCAAAGACACUGAUUUAAAAUCAGCUAGAUUAUGUAUAUUGUUGUGCUGACUGGAAGACACAGAGUCGUUUCUUUUUUUCCUAAUUCCUCAUAUUUUGUGUGUAUAUACAUUUAUGUGUAUACACACAAAACAUGAGAAGUCAGAAUUAAGGGAAAUGUGUUUGGAAUCAAACAUGAUAGGGAAAAAUUCCAGCUUUAAUUGAUCAUUGUGAAAGAUACAUUUUACAUGACAAGAGAAAGCUAACUGCUAUAUGCAAUUAUGUUAGUGGCAAUGUUGGGUUCAUAAUUGAUGAAAGGGAAAAUAAAGAGUGAUACAAAAAUUAUAGUUUGAAGAACAGAAAAGCAGGAACAUAGUUGCAAUGCAUAACACUUCUAAAAUAUGCUACAGAACAUCAGCAUGUUUUAUGCAAAAAAAUCAGCAUUAUAUGGUCUUAAGCAUCACUUGAAAUACCAUGUAAUUACUACUUUUAUAUUUAGAAAGUACUUUAUUCUACAUUUUCUAUUACCUAAGGUUAGCUAUUUUGAUUGAAUGAACAGAAAUAGUAAAAUGUAACUGAACUUUUAAGAAAUGAACUACAGUAAAUGGUGGUGUACACCCCCACAUCCCUGCAAAAUUUGGAUAAAUACUGUACCUGUUCGUGAGUGCACUAGUCCAAGUACUACACUACAAUGAGAUGACAUGUUCUUUACUCCAGUAAAACUCCCACUGACUUCAAAAGAACUUUGCACUGCAAUAGCAUUCAGAGUACCUGGGUUUGGUUUUGACUCGGCAGAAUGAUGGAUGGAUUCUGCUGUCAGCAGAUGGGAAAUGGCAUUAGCAAAAGGACAGGAAAAAACAUUGCUUUCUUUCUGUCCACUAGCCCUCUUCCCUUCUGCACAAAUACAGAUCUUGUGAUCUCCGCCCUGGUCUGCCUCCAUUGCUGUCCAGUAUGCUUGGGCUAAAUGACAAUCUGGCCCUGGACCAAACAAAUUUAAGCAGCAUAACAGGUGCAGAGAACUGUCCCCCGAAUCUUCUUUUUCCCUUGCAAAGAUCUAGCUCAAGGUCAACACACAAUUUACACCCUACAAAAACCCAGUUUCAGAGAAGUUAGAGGUUGUUAAGUAUGAUAUUGACUUUUAGCUUGACCUUUACAUGAGGAUAAAUUUCACCUACUUUAAGGAUAUUUUCCAAAAUGUAUGUCAUUCAAGUCACCAGUCAAAUGGAACUGGAUAGCAAUACACAGCACAGAGACUGUAAAAAGUUACACAGAAUAUUUGUUUUUUUUAGUUCAUACUAAUAAUUUGUACAAUUCUAGGAUACCAUUAAUUAUUUUUUGAAGUAACUGUUUUAAUUGUUUGAUAGCAGCAAAGUAGUAUUUCAAUGUACACCAGUUCUCUGUUAAAACAAGAAAUCUAAAGUAAAAUAACGCUUGUGAAUAGUCUUUAUAAACAGCCAUGGAUCUGAAUCAAAUUUGCCACCAAACUGGCAGACAGAAAAUACAUUAAAUGAAUAGACAAUUCAGUAAUAUCCACCAGAUAACUAAAAUUGAAAUUUUAUUUCUUUCAAUAAUAUUCAUCAGACAUGUUUCUGACAAGACUUUUCUGAAAGAUGAAGUGCAAAUGGGAACCCUGUAAGAAUGUUUAUAAGAAUUGUACAUGACAUUUCUUAAGCGCCACUAAGUACACAUUGAAUACUUUGUAAGUAUAUAGGCAUAGCAACAUGCAAGUGUCAUGUACCUAAUAUUACAAUAUGCAUUUUGUUUGCUUAUUCAUGAGAAAAUUAAAUUAAAUAAACAUGGUUCAAUCAUCAGUGCAAUAUAUUUAAUUCCAGUUGAUUUUACUUACAGCAGUUUUAUUUUAUUUUUUUCCAAGCAGAGACGAACACUUCCAAAUGUCAUGAAUUACAAGUCUAAGACCAGAGCACAGAGGAGUUCCUAUAAGGUUACAUUUAUACAGUGUGCCAGCAGAGGUUGUUGAUAUAAUCUUUUCACAAAUUGUGUGUUAUUUAUUCUAGAAACUUCCUGCAGUACUGAAGGUGUUUUGUUGUUAUGAAAUAUCUAGACUGAAAGUAAAGGAUGCACAAAGAAUACAUUAUACGGUGUAAACAUUUGCAUUAAGGACCUGAUUUUAGCUCCACUUAAACCAAGAGGAAUGUUGUAUUUGUCAAAGGAGGACAUCUAUGACUUAAAAAGCCUACAAGUUCAGCUCUCAAACUCUGCUGAGCUACAUUCAGUAGAUAAAAGUAGAACAUUUUAUAGUAUAUCUGCAUAUUUCUAUAGAAACUACAUAGUGACAUGUGGAAAUCUAUUUACAUUUAAUAAGGACUUAAAUAUGCACACACAUAUUUACUAUCAUGAUUCAAUAUAAAUAGAAAGGAGGAAGGAGCAGGAGGAUGGAACAGUAAUCCAGUCCAAACAUAAAAUAUCUCCUUUGGUUGGUUCCUUUGGAACCAAAAUAAACAGUUUGUGGGCAUCAUUUCUUUUUAACCAAACAAAAUGUUCUUUGGAAACUCUUUUUUAAUUUAAUACAAAUAUUCUCUCCUUUCUUGUAAAGCCAGAUGAAAAAUAGAAACCUCUAAUCAUUUAGAAAAAAAUAAAUCCUGUGUGCAAAGGCAGGAUAAGGCUACAUGUAGUUUGCACUGGGCACAUCUACACAUGAAGCUACGUUGCUGUAGCAAUGUGCUAUGGCAACAUAGAGUCUGCAGGCAAAAACCAUGACACCACAGCUACGUCAUCAUAGCUACAUGCUUGGCUAUAGCACAUUGCUAUAGCAACAUAGUGCCUAAAAACAACCAUGCAUGGCAUGCAUGGUGCUGUAUGGGCUGUUACUGUGCCAUCAUUUAGUAUUUCCAAAAGGAAGCACUAAAUGACAGCGCAGUAACAACAGCGCCAUAGUGAUAUACAAGAUUAGAGCUCUCAGAAAUCACUGCUGGACGCCACAUACAGGGAAAGUGCUUAAAGCUGUGGUUCUCAGCUUUUAUAUAAUCAAGACACCCCAGUGAGACUCGAGACACUCCUGAGAAAAUGCCAGCUCUUAGUUUUUACCUUUUUUUGACUACAGAAAAAUAAUAGACCAAUUUUGCUGUUGCAAAGAACUCAGAAAGGAAACAACAGGUCAACAUGUUUUUUACCUUGUGGAUUCUUAUUUGAAAUCUUGGGGUAUGUCUUAUGAAACAUGUUUGCACCUAAGAUUGCUAAUGUUAUAUGGCAUCCCAUGGUACCAAAGGAGUUCAAGGCACCCCAGGGUGCUUCAACACCCUGGUUGAGAAUCACUGGCUUAAGGGCUGACCCCCAGCAGGUUUAGAUUUCAUACCAGAAAUAUUUUUUUUAAAUCCUUUAACUUUUCUUUCCUAACAUAGAAGGUUCAUUGGGAACGACUUUUUUUCAAUCUUCUUUCUAGUUGGGCUAUACUUUUUAACAAAGUAAAAAGUAUGUUACAUAGGCUAGAUCUGUGGCUGUACACAGAAGGAAUGCAGCUGCUUUAACCUGUUGCAGGGAGACUCCCCACUGCACCUGGGAAAUCCCCAUGUGCUAUAAGUUAUAUUAACUUUAGUACUUACCACUGUCUAUCUGCAAUGCAGCAGGCAUUUCAGGGAAAAAUGGGCAUAAUUGGGUAACAUGGUUAUUCCUAAUGGUUUAACCAAACCCUCUUGGGAGCCACUGGCAGCUCCUAUUUAUUACAGCAAUGCUAGACUGGAGAGGGAACCGUAUUUGUACUCCUGACUCUGUGCGAGUUGCACCAACCUCAGGAUAUAUGGUGAGGUAUUUAAACAGCAGCAUGUCUUUGUUCUAGUUUCCAUUUAGGUCAUUCAGAUGACUCCAUCUGACUUCAAUGGUCGUUAGAUCAGGAUUUCCCUGAACAGUCAUGUAGGAAAACUUGGUGGUAAAAGUAGUUUCAGACAAAAUCUUUCAUGCAUUGACAUGAAAAGCUGCAGCAUUACUUGUUUAUUUGUUUAAAGUUUGAACUGAAGACUUUCCAUGUACAUUUUCAUUUACAUGGAAGUGUGUGUGUGUGCAUGUGUGUGUGUGUGUGUGUGUGUAAAAUCACAGGUUAGAAUAUUUUGAUUGCAUUUCUAUUACAUAUUUAAUUUAAAAGCUUGCUUAUGAUUUUAAAACUGACAUUACAAACGUGGAUCCUUUUUAAUGAAAACAGUCAUAUUCCAGAUGAAUUGUAUAGGAUGAUUCUUGGUGUUGAACUGAUACUAACUUUGUGCUUUUAAAGUGUAUGGGAUGGAUCCCACACCAGUCAAGCUGGUCUGAACUGAUGGCAAUAGAACUAAAUUGAUUUACACUAGCUGAGGGUAGAGUUCUCUAUUAUAAUAUUAGUUUGCAGAACAAUCUAUAUCAGGAGACAGUAAAAAUCAGAGGAAAGAUCCAUGAACACAGGGAAGAUGUUUUUCUGAUUUACAAAUACACUUUUAUAAUUAUUCCAUUUAGGGGCAGAGAUGUUGUUAUAAUGUGCCUAGAGACAUUUUAUAGCCCGUAUUUCAAGAAAGUGGUAUAUGAAACAUUGCAGGAAUUAUAUAACAUGUCAUUAAGCCAACAGCAGUUGUUAAACAUGUAUAUUAAUCACAAUAGUGUGCAAGCAUGAGAGGGAUAUAAUAAAUAACACUCACUCAAGUUUUACACUCUUCCAUCUAGCAAUAUUCAUUUUCUUCUUUUGCAGUUUUGUGUGAUCUCACUUUCAUUAAAUUUGGAAGGGCACAAUAAAAAAAUGACAAGAAGAAAAAGAUCGACAGCAUAUAAUUUUAUGUUUAGAAAGAGUCAACUUUUUCAUUAAAGGCAGCCUCUCUUCCUCAAUAGAAGCAUUUCAUGGCUGCAAUUUAAGAUUACCUGACAUUAUUGUGAAAGAAAUAGUAGAAAUUCCCAGUGAAAAGGGUCAACAAAAUAGGGGUCAGAAGAACACACCUCUGUCUGUUUCUCUGUUGUUCAUGCUAAAAAUACGAGGGCAUAUGGCAGUACAUUUCAGCAUCUUAGCAUGUUAGGUUCCCUCAAGGACAGGACAAAGAAGAAAGCUUGUGCCGCUGAGCCAGAAAUAGAUUUCUGAACAAGGUUGCCAGACUUCUAGCAUGCUAACAGUGAAGCCAUUAGCAAAGUUGAAGUCUCAUUUUGCCCUAAAGGUGCUUCAGUGGAGUCUUAUGGGACCCAAAGAGAAAGGAAGGCAGAACUAGUGAGGAAGAGGAGAAAAAUAGGGAUUAUUACGAAUUAAAUAUAAGUACAAGGCAAGGAAUUAUACAUAUUGCACUAGGGCAAUUACUGCAUGUAAGUGUACUGUUAAUUCAUGUAACUGCUAGGGGCACUCUAGCUUUUUGAAAUAAUCAAAAUGCAUAUUAUAAUUACAUGGGUUUCCAAUAUCCAUACACAGCAAGUACAAGAUACUUACAUGUAAGUACACUGUAUUUACCUAUAUUUUUGCAUAGUUUUUAGUGUGUACUUUGUGCCACUUAAUAAAAAGCAUUACUCAGUUUUUUUGUAUUAGACAGCUUAUUCAAUUGAAGUUGAAGCAGCUGAAUUUUUGGUAUGUUCAUCAUAGAUUACCAUUUCCUAGGAAUGAGGAGAUUGGACAGCUGGAAGAAUCUAGGUAGGUGUCGGGGAAAGCUGCAGUGUGAACAUGAAGUUUUACGUCACCUUAAUAAAGAAAUGGAAUAUCAGAUUUGUGAUGUUAAUUUAAUAAACUUACCUUUAGUUUGAAUGGACUAGUAAAGGUAAGAAUUCCAUUUUCCUUUUGGUAACACUUUACAAUAAGUGGCACUAAAUUACACUAUAACUGCUAUGUUACAUGGAAGUACAUGUAACUACACUGUAACUGUUGAAAUAGCUACUGUACAUGUGUGUACAUGGUAACUUCAGUGCUGUUACAAUCAUGAAUUACAUAAUUACAGAUGAUCCUGUCCUUUCUUUUCAUUGAAAUCGUUAUAUAUAUUAUACUAUAAUGAAAAUACACAAGAUGUUAACUUUCAUGUCUUGUUUAGAAAAGUUGGUUUUCUUCAUAUAUUCUUUAGAGGAGUCUCAGUGCAAGAUGAACCACCUUUAAGAAAUGUGAGAAGAUUUUUAAACGUCCUAGCUUAAUGCUGAGCCUCAAGUUAAAUAUCAAGUUCCUUAAACUGCUUCUUAGUUUCUCUGAUGACACUAAACAGAGUGGAAAGAUGCACCCAUUGCCUUGCGAUGCCACUUUCUUAUUUAAACGAUUAUGUUUUCAAAGCAUAAAAAAAAGUUAUACAUUUAAAAGCUAAAAAUACCCAAUGGACACUGUAAACAGUACAUUGACAAAAUUUAGCUACCUUGUCUUUAGUAAAUUACUCUGCAUGUGUUGGUGGGUGUGGGUGUCACUAACAUGGUUCCCAUUCAGAACAUUCAUUUUACAUAUAUACUUAGUUUAGGGUCCAAUUGUAAUGGACUCAGUAUUUCAUAACUAGAUCUUGCCAUAAUAGAAACAGACUAUUUAUUUAUUUAGUUUAGUUUAUUAACUAAAUUUAUCUCUGAACCAUGGUUUUACCCGCAAGGGGCCUAAUACUGCCUUACACCAAGGGUAGUCAUUUACAUGUGUAAACAGAGAUAAGUCUAUAAAAUACUACCCCACUGAAUUUUCCAUUCACGUAUGUAGGUUGUAGUAUUUUUGCACCCACUUGCCAGAGAUGUAAAUGACAUCACAGGGUGCAAGGCAACUGAGAAUCAGAUCUAUUGAAAAUGAGCACACAGGAACAAUCUUAACUAAAAGUCAACCAAACAGCGUAGUUUAACAGUCCAAUUUGCAAAGUUUCAGUGCUGAGAAGACAGCUUUCAACAAUCACAUCUGAAGAUGCUCCGACUUUUCACGUACUCACUUGACAUGGUGGUAAGUAAUGACUUAAGCAACAAUUUUAUAGUUCAAGCAACAUGGAGUAAAAAAA